rnacentral:rRNA from 1 species
UACGUAGGGGGCAAGCGUUGUCCGGAUUUAUUGGGCGUAAAGAGCUCGUAGGUGGUUCGAUAAGUCGGGUGUGAAACCUCCAGGCUCAACCUGGAGACGCCACCCGAUACUGUCGUGACUAGAGUCCAGUAGGGGAGCGUGGAAUUCCUGGUGUAGCGGUGAAAUGCGCAGAUAUCAGGAGGAACACCAGCGGCGAAGGCGGCGCUCUGGGCUGGCACUGACACUGAGGAGCGAAAGCGUGGGGAGCGAACAGG